GUCGCCCGUGCCGCUCCAGCCACCGUCAAAUCCGGGUAGCGACCCGGGGCGUUUGCAGCGGUGCCGAGGAAGAGGACGGGAACGGUGUUACGAUUGCCUGCGUUUAGGAGGUGGCUGCGUUGUGGGAAAAGCUAUCAAGGAAGAAAUUGCCAAACCAUGUCUUUUUUUCUGUUUUCAGAGUAGUUCACAACAGAUCUGAGUGUUUUAAUUAAGCAUGGAAUACAGAAAACAACAAAAAACUUAAGCUUUAAUUUCAUCUGGAAUUCCACAGACAGUCUUGCUGCUCUGUUGCCCAGGCUGGAGUACAGUGGCAGGAUCUCAGCUCACUGCAAUCUCCGUCUCUCAGGUUUAAGCAGUUCUCCUGCCUCAGCCUCCCAAGUAGGUGGGACUACAGAACCUUCGGCUCGCGUGCUUCUGAGCUGCUGUGGAUGGCCUCGGCUCUCUGGACUGUCCUUCCGAGUAGGAUGUCACUGAGAUCCCUCAAAUGGAGCCUCCUGCUGCUGUCACUCCUGAGUUUCUUUGUGAUGUGGUACCUCAGCCUUCCCCACUACA
rnacentral:lncRNA from 1 species